rnacentral:lncRNA from 1 species
CCCAAUCUCAUUAUCACUUUAACCCAACUCUACCUUGCCCAUUACCCCGGCCCAAAUCACAGCAAUCAUCUCUUCCAAAUCCGAAUCUCUCGACAUUGUACUCUAUUGCCUGUUUUCGUCUUCGCUACACCGAUCGGCUCCGGCAAACCCACCAAACCUCACCAUCAACAAUCCACCCAACGUACCCUACAUCUUCAUCCAACCAUCG